CGUCACAGCAUUUUCAUUUUGUUUUAUUUUUGUUUUUUAGCAUUCCUGAGUGAAAAGGGACAUUCAGGGAAUAUGAGCUCAGCCCCUAAUUUGGAAAGACCGUGUGAUGAAUUCGAAGGCCCAGGCCUUGAUGGGUGUCCCAGGAGAAUGACAAAGCUUAUCUCCUCUUGGGCCCCUCUGCUUCCUGGAGCCAGAGGGGAGGAGGGUGCUGCCUCACGGUUGAUAAACAGGUGAUCGGUCCUUAAGGGGGGGGUGACCAGGCCCCCAGGGGCCCUACCUGUCCCCUGCCUGCUGCUGUCCCUGCCUGCCACCUCCGGGAGGGUCUCUGCAGCACCACAUCCAGAGAGAAUCCGGAGCCCAGUAGCACCUCACCUGGAAUUUGGGGGUUUUCAGGCAUGGAGAAGUGAUGCUCCUGCAGCCUCCAGGAGCCCAGUAGCACCUCACCUGGAAUUUGGGGGUUUUCAGGCAUGGAGAAGUGAUGCUCCUGCAGCCUCCAGGUGUGUACCUGCUUCACUGGGGGAAGGAGCCUGCUGUGGAUGGAUGCCUGUUCACACGUGGCAUCUACACCUGCAGAGGGAGACUGCUCUACUGAUUCUCUACAGAAGCUGGCACAGCUCAGUAGACCCUGUGUGUGGGCUGUGGACCCUAGGCCACCACCUCGGAGAGAAAGCUGCAACCUUGGCCUGCAGAUGUGGCCAUCAGCAGACAGCUGGCUGCUGCAGCAGUAGAACCAGAGAACAGCCUCCAUGCCCAGGUGUGAGAUGCCCAAGGUGUCUGUUUACACCUGUGGGAGGCUUUACCUAGGGUAGGGAGCUUGGGGCAGUGACCAGUUGGUGGGAUUUGAGUGUUCCCACACUUUUGGCCUCAUUCACAUCCCUAGACAGAUGAAUCCUCGGGAUACACAGAGAUAUUUCUUCUAGCUCUCACAUGGGUCCAUACUUUACAACUCUUCAUGGGUCCAUGUGCCAGGAGCUGGGGAUUCCGUGAUAAAUGAACUCAGGAGUCGGAGAAUAUUAACCAACAAAGAGUAUGUAAUAUCAGCUCAGCCAGCGGGGAAGCAGAUGAAAUUGGGCUGGGGACAGAGCUGACGGGGGUGGGGGGGCAGGGGGCAGGGGGAUGUGGCACCACAGACAUGUGGGGGAGGAAAGGCCUCUCCAGCCGACAUUUGAGGAGGAUCUGACUGAAGUCGUCCAGCCACACAAGGAUGGUUCAGGGUCAGCAUUCCAGGCAGGGGGCCAUGCAGGCAGAGGCCCCACAAAUUUAUUCUGGAAUCAGUGAUGAGACUGGGGCUUUGCUUUAAUGGAUCCCAGCCCCCCUUAGUAAAUGGUUCCAUCUUCCCUAUGAAUUUGAAAUGCUGCCUUCAUAAUACACUAAAUUAUCAUAUGUAGCAAGCACUGUUCUGGGAGCCCAAGUGAGACCUCACUUCAGCAGCUAUGGUAGGGAGGGGGGCUGGGCAAGGGGAGACAUUAAUGGGUCCUUGGGACAUGUGAGAGGUGUCCUUAGCCUCUGUAGGCCCCCGCCUUACGGAUUAAGUCUGGAAACACUUGGCUUUUUAGCCCCACUGAGGGCCAACGUCCAGUUCUCAUAUUUUGGUUUGAACUACUAUGUAAUAAUUCCUAGAAAGAGCAAGUGUCUCCCUUUGCCUCCCCACUCUGCCUCCGUCACCACUCCCCCACCCCCAAAGUUCCCAUAAAUCUGUCCUGGGGAGAGCUGACUGCUUGGGGAAGGCGGAGUCACACUGGGA
ensembl:lncRNA